rnacentral:lncRNA from 1 species
CUUGGCAUCAAGUCAGGCAUGUCGUAGCACGCGAUUGUAAAAUCAGGUGUACCCUAGGGUUCCCCUGAACGCUUCAUGGGGCAAUCUUGGCUGCUGCAUAAUAUGUAGCCAUUUGGCCUUCUGAAGUGUUUGGGGGAACUCCCGGGUUUCACUUGAUACGUACGUUCAUGCGCAAAUUUCAUCUUCGUGAGCGGAUCUCAGCGUCAAAAGAGUAAACUUCCCGAUUUGGCUGGUAAAUGCUUCGUGAAAUUGGUGAUAAAGAAUUUACUUUCUUUAAAACGCACAAUUUAAUGUAUCAAACAUGUCAUGAAAUAUUGGUUGAGAUGUUUUUUUAGGGCUUUAGCGACUUCUCUUUAGCCAUUCUGAUGCAGUUGCUGGGAAACAUAUGGAAACACGGCAGGUGAAGACAAUUCCUCCCCUUUCAGAAGCAUACCGUACAGCUCCCGGGCUCGUCCCCAUUGUAGUCCCUCUCUUUCUUAUACAGCAAUAAGAUUGUAUUCUUAGGUCGUA